GGCUCUGUGGUGCAAUUGGAAGCAUAUACAUUCUCACCAUAGAGAAUCUCAGUAAGAUGUGGGUUCGAAUCCCGCCGGAGCUC